UACAGAGGUCUCAAGCGUUGUUCGGAUUCAUUGGGCGUAAAGGGUGCGUAGGCGGCGCGGUAAGUCGGGUGUGAAAUCUCGGAGCUUAACUCCGAAACUGCAUUCGAUACUGCCGUGCUUGAGGACUGGAGAGGAGACUGGAAUUUACGGUGUAGCGGUGAAAUGCGUAGAUAUCGUAAGGAAGACCAGUGGCGAAGGCGGGUCUCUGGAGAGUUCCUGACGCUGAGGCACGAAGGUCAGGGGAGCAAACGGG
rnacentral:rRNA from 1 species